GUCCACGCCAUAAACGAUGAGGACUAGACGUUGGGGGCUAUAAGCUCUCAGUGUCGUAGCUAACGCGCUAAGUCCUCCGCCUGGGGAGUACGGCCGCAAGGUUGAAAACUCAAAGUAAUUGACGGGGACCCGCACAAGCGGUGGAGCAUGUGGUUUAAUUCGAUGCAACGCGAAGAACCUUACCUGGUCUUGACAUCCAUGGAAGUCUGCAGAGAUGCGGAUGUGCCGUAAGGAACCAUGAUACAGGUGCUGCAUGGCUGUCGU
rnacentral:rRNA from 1 species